CCUACGGGUGGCAGCAGUGGGGAAUAUUGCACAAUGUGCGAAAGCCUGAUGCAGCAACGCCGCGUGAAGGAAGAAGGGUUUCGGCUCGUAAACUUCUAUCAACAGGGACGAAAGAAAUGACGGUACCUGAAAAAGAAGCACCGGCUAACUACGUGCCAGCAGCCGCGGUAAUACGUAGGGGGCAAGCGUUAUCCGGAUUUACUGGGUGUAAAGGGAGCGUAGACGGAAAGGCAAGUCAGAAGUGAAAGCCCAAGGCUCAACCAUGGGACUGCUUUUGAAACUGUCAAACUAGAGUACGGGAGAGGUAAGAGGAAUUCCUAGUGUAGCGGUGAAAUGCGUAGAUAUUAGGAGGAACACCAGUGGCGAAGGCGUCUUACUGGACCGAAACUGACGUUGAGGCUCGAAAGCGUGGGGAGCAAACAGGAUUAGAUACCCCAGUAGUC
rnacentral:rRNA from 1 species